rnacentral:rRNA from 1 species
CCUACGGGAGGCAGCAGUGAGGAAUAUUGGUCAAUGGCCGUAAGGCUGAACCAGCCAAGUCGCGUGAAGGAAGACGGCUCUAUGGGUUGUAAACUUCUUUUAUAAGGGAAUAAAGGUAUCCACGUGUGGCUAUUUGCAUGUACCCUAUGAAUAAGCAUCGGCUAACUCCGUGCCAGCAGCCGCGGUAAUACGGAGGAUGCGAGCGUUAUCCGGAUUUAUUGGGUUUAAAGGGUGCGUAGGUGGGUUUUUAAGUCAGCGGUGAAAGUUUGUGGCUCAACCGUAAAAUUGCCAUUGAUACUGGCAGACUUGAGUGUAGUUGAGGUAGGCGGAAUGCGUGGUGUAGCGGUGAAAUGCAUAGAUAUCACGCAGAACUCCGAUUGCGAAGGCAGCUUACUAAGCUAUAACUGACACUGAAGCACGAAAGCGUGGGGAUCAAACAGGAUUAGAUACCCUAGUAGUC